UGGCUUGUAGUUUAGUUUGAAAAUGUUAGGUUUUGAGUCUAGAGAGGAUGUUAUAAUUCAG
rnacentral:tRNA from 1 species